AUUGAACGCUGGCGGCAGGCCUAACACAUGCAAGUCGAGCGGAUGAAGGGAGCUUGCUCCUGGAUUCAGCGGCGGACGGGUGAGUAAUGCCUAGGAAUCUGCCUGGUAGUGGGGGAUAACGUCCGGAAACGGGCGCUAAUACCGCAUACGUCCGGAGGGAGAAAGUGGGGGAUCUUCGGACCUCACGCUAUCAGAUGAGCCUAGGUCGGAUUAGCUAGUUGGUGGGGUAAAGGCCUACCAAGGCGACGAUCCGUAACUGGUCUGAGAGGAUGAUCAGUCACACUGGAACUGAGACACGGUCCAGACUCCUACGGGAGGCAGCAGUGGGGAAUAUUGGACAAUGGGCGAAAGCCUGAUCCAGCCAUGCCGCGUGUGUGAAGAAGGUCUUCGGAUUGUAAAGCACUUUAAGUUGGGAGGAAGGGCAGUAAGUUAAUACCUUGCUGUUUUGACGUUACCAACAGAAUAAGCACCGACUAACUUCGUG
rnacentral:rRNA from 1 species